rnacentral:rRNA from 1 species
GCUAGGAUGAACGCUGGCGGCGUGCCUAACACAUGCAAGUCGAACGAAGCAUACGGACUGGAGAUUCGUCGAAGGACUGUAUGACUUAGUGGCGGACGGGUGAGUAAUGUAUGAGCAACCUGCCUUUCAGAGGGGGACAACAGUUGGAAACGACUGCUAAUACCGCGUAACGUAUCGUGAGGGCAUCCUCGUGAUACCAAAGGAGCAAUCCGCUGAAAGAUGGGCUCAUAUCUGAUUAGCUUGUUGGCGGGGUAACGGCCCACCAAGGCGACGAUCAGUAGCCGGACUGAGAGGUUGAACGGCCACAUUGGGACUGAGAUACGGCCCAGACUCCUACGGGAGGCAGCAGUGGGGAAUAUUGGGCAAUGGGCGAAAGCCUGAACCCCAGCAACGCCGCGUGAAGGAAGAAGGUCUUCGGAUUGUAAACUUCUUUUAUGAGGGACGAAGGACGUGACGGUACCUCAUGAAUAAGCCACGGCUAACUACGUGCCAGCCGCUGC